GGAAGGGUAGCCUCAGUGGACAUGGCAUCUGCCCGGUAAGCGGAACACUGUGGGUUCGGUUCCCAUCCCUGGACACUUUA
rnacentral:tRNA from 1 species